rnacentral:rRNA from 1 species
UGGCUCAGGAUGAACGCUAGCGGCAGGCUUAAUACAUGCAAGUCGAACGGGAUAGAUUGUAGCAAUACGAUCUUGAGAGUGGCGCACGGGUGCGUAACACGUAUGCAACCUACCUUUAUCAGGAGAAUAGCUUUCGGAAACGAAAAUUAAUACUCCAUAAUAUGUAGAAUAGGCAUCUAUACUACAUUAAAGUUCCAACGGAUAAAGAUGGGCAUGCGCAACAUUAGCUAGUUGGUGUGGUAAAAGCGCACCAAGGCUACGAUGUUUAGGGGGUCUGAGAGGAUUUUCCCCCACACUGGUACUGAGACACGGACCAGACUCCUACGGGAGGCAGCAGUAGGGAAUAUUGGUCAAUGGACGAAAGUCUGAACCAGCCAUGCCGCGUGCAGGAUGACGGCCCUCUGGGUUGUAAACUGCUUUUGUCAGGGAAGAAUAAGCUUAACGUGUUAAGUGAUGACGGUACCUGAAGAAUA